ACUGAACUAAAUACAUCAACUUUUACUGACUGUCUAUGAAACCUCUAUUAGUACUCACUCUAGGUAGUCGGGUCAUGACUUCCAACUAUCCUAACUGAAUACAUCUGAAUAAAGAAAAUACAAUACUUCUCAAAUUGUAUAACUGACUCAUGACUCGAUCCCUUGAAUUAAGAGGACUUAUGACCUGCCGAUUGGAAGCUGCAAACUAACUGAAUAUGGUAUAUGUGCUACAGCUUGUACCUACAUUAUGAGACAAUAUAGCACAUAGACAUAUAUGUGGAUUAGCACUUUGAGGAUGUACUGAGUAUAUCAGGGUGUAUGCAAUAAUUAAAACCAAUAUGAUCAAUAUUUAUCGAAAUCAUGCAUGCUGAUAUAAAAGACUCACAUAGCUUGAAUAACUCUGAAACAUAUAUCUCAUAAAUCAUGGAUAGUGAAGCAUUAAAUAUAAAUCUCGUAAGUCGUUAUACCAAAUUCUAAAAUCUGCAUUCUUCUCUUAUUCUCAAAACUUGUAAGCUAAAAGAAUCUUUAAAUAAUACUUUCAAAAGUUAAACCUUUAUCUUGAGGAGAGUAGAACUUCUUUGAAACUUAAGGAAUCAAAACUUAGGGACUUAAACACUUGGGACACUUAGGAAAUCUUGAAACAAUAACUUUCAAAACACAUAUUUUAUCUUAAGGAAAAUAGAACUUUGGGAGUUUCUUCUAAUGACAUAAACCAUGUGAGUUACAUAGUGUCCAACGUCUUACCCAUAUUGAAGAGAGUUGUUCUAUCCUUGAUAUCAGAAUAGAACCUUAACCUUAGUGUAGUGAUCUCUAUCUCGACCUCGGGCCUGCAAAUCUCAAUCCUAUAGUGGCACGUAGUUCUGGGGUAUGAGACUUUGGAAUCAUACCCAACUCGAUGCUAAAUACUACUCCAUACUUAGCUUAGAACUGUUAGGAAAUCCAUUUCAAAUUAACUAAAGGGUCUAUAAUGAAGAACAAAUUAUGCUUCUCUCUGCUUAAUGUAGAUUUCUAUCUUAGCUUAAAAUCAAAAGAUCAAUAUUUUCUUCUGAAAGCACUUAUCAAACUUUUCAACAAAACUUGAGAUCAUAAUCUCCUUAGGUCUGAAAAUAUAAAGCUUUAAUGCAUCAAAAUCAUAUUUGAACUUCAUGCUCAACAAUCAUCUUAAAAGCUUUGAAUCAUGUCAAUCAAGAUAUUAGAAAAUAACUCAAAUAAGAAUCUCAUGAUUUCAACAUCUCAAACUUAUGCUUGAUAACAAAAUAUUCAUAGUCAUCUUAAAAUCUUGAAAUUUCAUCUAUACAUGCCAAAAUAUAAACAUACUCAUGUAAUUCUUCUUCUAAAAUAAUGAAAAUAUCAUAAUCUCAUGAAUAGCAACAUAGGAUACAAACCCAACUUCAUUUUCAUAAGAAACAGGUAAAAUCAAAUAACUCUCACAAUAAAAAUCAAGUUUUGGGCAUAGGGACGAACAGGUUGUCCUUGUUGAAACCCCACAUACCUUGGAUUAUGAGUUUUUGAUGAGAACUUGCUUUAGGGACUCUGUUUGUGCUUUUGAUGGAUGAUUCUUGAAGAUCUUAGUUUGGGGAUUCUAAUUCUUGAAUCAAUUUUGGAAUUUAAUGAUGAAAUUUUGAGGGAUAUUGAACCUUAGGUUGAGUACAUAAGGUUUGGUUGUUGAGAGGAUUUGAGAGAAAGAAGUGUAUUUUGGUGAAAUAGAGGCUGAAUUCAAUGUUUAUGGAGCUAUGGUGUGAAGGAAAAAAAAUACCAAAAUACCACUCUAAACUAUUUGGAAAAUGCUGAAUUCUAUGGCUAACGACAUUAGGCUGAUGCCAUCACAUAUGUACAUAAGCCAUCAGCUCAUGUCGUCACUUGAUGUUGGAAUUUAUGAAUUUAUGCCUAAGGCUAAUGGCAUUAUGUAAUAAGUCAUCAGAUAUGUAAUAAGCGGUCAGAUAAUGUUGUCACUUAGUUGCCAGGCUGACAUGCUGGAGUAAAAUAGGUAUAACUUUUUGGUUCAAUAUCGGAUUUGGGCAAAAUUAGUAUCGUUGGAAAACUAAUUCAAUUAUCUAUUUGUUGUUCUGUUAUGAGCUCAAAAAUUCAUAUUAUAUUGAGAGAUAUACUUGUUUGAAGUUGACUAUACCAAUAUCAUUCUCAAGAAUUCAAUCAGUAAGGAAUGUUUUGAUUCGUCUAAUAGAUAGGACACUUUUGAGGCCUUAAUACUCAUUAAACUAGAUCACGCAAAUACCAAAACACUAAAAUUUAUUUCUCAAGAGCUUUAAGCGGGGUUCUACUAUCAGUUGUAAAUCUUGGAGUAUUACACAAACAUCACAAUAAUCUUCAAAAUUCAAUAAACACUAGUGAAUUCUACCUACAAUUCAUUAACUAAUCUACCCCUUUCCAUUUACAACCUCUAACUAAUUUCUAUAACCAUCAUAACUAUCCACUCUAGGCUCCUUCCCUAUUUUGAGCAAAUAAUAAUCAUAUCCAGUCACUUCCUUCACAAACUACUAUACAAUCUAUAAUUAUUGCUACCACAUUAGUCUAUCACUAUAAAAUGGCACACCAUCCCUCAAUGAAUGGUUAAACAGCUAAAACAACAGCUAAAAUAAUUUAUUUACCUAAAAGUCUCCCUGACUUCUAACCUUGUGACUUCAUAUCACCAACUUUUUGGCCAAUCUCACUAAUAAUAGGUCAUGCCACUUUAACAUAUACUACUACUCAGGUGGAAAUAUAGUUCCAAUAUUCUGCUACAUAUUAUUAACCUAAUGCAAGACAUCUAUAGAAAGAAUUUUGAAAGGGGACUGAACUCACUUUGUACCUCAGGCUGAAAAGUACAAUUUUCAAUUUUCAUAUUGCGUUGCGAUGGGGAAAAGGUCGUAGUACAUCUCGGGUAAGUUUCAAAAUUUUUUGGAUAGCGUAAGGGCAUGUUUGGGUGACUAAAAUAGUUGCAAAAGGCGAUAAGACUGUGUCUCCCAGGCUAGAGCACCGCUCCAGGAAGGCGGUCACCCUAGCUACAGCACUGCCAUAGCAAGGUGUCUCCUAGGGUACCCUAAUGGAUUUGCUAGGCGCCGCCCUGGAUAUAGCCUUUUUGCCCAAUUUUCAACAUUCCACCUUCAUGUUUUGGAGGGCAUUUUGGUCAUCCUCCCAUCCAUAUAUAAGCCCUUUAACACGAAAUUCAGCUAUUUAGAACCCAAAAUAUUGAGUUUCUCUUAAAAUAUGUUCAAGAGCAAACUUUGGGUUUCAAUAAAGGAUCUAAAUUCAAGCUUAUAUUCAAGAAUGUCUCGUCAGUCCUCGUGAAAUCAAAAAUUAAGGUAUGCAUAGUGUUCAUUCAUGGACUCCUUAUGUCCAUGAAGCUUAAGAAUCCCAUUUUUACUUAUAUAUCAUGGUUUUUAUGUUGUGAAGUGAUUUUGACUUUGGUUAUCAUGUUGUAUAGUUCCAAAUUUGAGUGUUUAUGUGUUUUUAUGAAUCUAUGAUAUCAUAUAAGUUGAAAAUAUGUAAAUUUGGUUGUUCAUGAUGAAUAAUUUGAUCACUUCACCUAUGCCUAAAUUGUGCAUGUAAGGUGUUUGGUAAAAUGCCUAAGAGACUAGAAAUCAUGUAUUUUAGCUAAAUUGUGACCUAAACGACAAAUGCAUGCUAUAACCUUAUGAAAACAACGACUUCUGUGAUAUGGUUAUGCAUUAUGGUUCUUGAUAGGAUGUUCAUGAAACUAGGUAGUUGGACUUAUGGCAUGGUAUAUGCAUUCUAUUCCAUGUAUAAGAUUUUGAGAACCAUAUGUAGUAUGAAAUCCCCAACUUAUGAUAUUAUUGUAUUAUGUACUUUAGUCCUAUGAUCUAAAUGUGUCAUGUUAGGUUAGUUUCCUUCUAUCGAGUCCUGGGGGUACUUGUACCCAAAAAAUAUAGUUGUUUUCCUAGAGCCAGUUUAAUGUUUUAACGAUAUCCUUAGUCAAGACAUGUUCUUUAGAAUUCAGUCAGGCAUGUGACUCAGCAAAGGCUCAGUAAAUCUCAGAAAGCUCAGUACUAUUCCGUCAAUCAAUGGAACUCAUUUAACUCAGUCCAGUUAGUUUAGUUAUUCAUGAUUCAGCGUCUAUCUAGUUAGGAGUAGAAAUUAGCAUCGAGUGAACCCAAGGGUGGGAACAAACAAUGUUAGAUAAGGGUGUGAUUCCUUGUAGAAAUCAUUGCAUUCUAGAAAUAUGUAUCUAGCAUUGGUUGAGACAUCAAUGCUAUAAUAACGAGGGUUGAUGAGGUGGAUCAACACUGUAAGAUGAAGGUUCUGCCAUUCUCUUUUGGGGGAUACUAUCAGAUGAGGGUCACCCAUAGAUUGUCCUUACCAGUGGCACGAUAUUGACAUCUUUCCAAUUAGGGUUAUAGAUUGGACCCGAACUGUGCUAUAAUAGCUCAUUCGAGGCAUUUUGGUUAGAUGACUACUUCCUAAGGUCUCAGUUUUAGAUUUCAGGAAUGUCAGAUAUAGUCACUCAAUUUCAGUAAAAGAACUCAGAUAGUUCUUUUGAUUUCAGGACUGUCAGAUACAGUCAACUCAAAAUUGUACACAACUCAGCUAGUUCCAUUAAAACGUAGACUGUCAGAUACAGUUGCUUAGUUUCAGUUAUAACAAUUAUCAGCAACCCAUGUUGUUAGUAUUCAAACAUAGAAAUUAGUGUUGUCACGACCUUAAUUAUAGUUACGUAUGCAUGUAUGCAUUCUCACGCUCAUAUCAGUCAAUCAAUCAGAAUUUGUUCAUGCAUAUGAACCCUUUCGAAUUUAGCCUACCUCACUUGCAUACUUAAUAUAUUCAGUCAUACUGACGUAUUCACGCUAUUAUGUUUCUAUGCCAUAGGUUCCAUGACACGAGUUCUAGAUCCAGUGCAGCAGUAGUAUUCCAGCUUUUAGUACUCAGAGUCAGUGGUAAGUUCUCAUCAUGCGAGGACGAGAUUAUUUCAUUAUUUUAUUACUUUAGUAGACGGAGUUAGUUGGGGACAUGUCCCAUCAAUUCUUUAUUCAGAUUAUUAAGACUCCAGACUAGUCCAGACUAGAUUUGGAUUUAAUUCAGACAGUUUGUUUUGGGUAUUCGAUACCCCACCCAGAUGUUAUAUUUUAUUAGGUAUGCAAUUUUGAACCUUAUGGUCUUUCAAUUCAUGUUUCUGCCUUUAUAUACAUAUAUUAUGCAGUGUACAGGUACAGAUAUCAGUCAUAGGUUAGCUUGUGGUCCUUUGGGGUCAUGAGUACCGUGUAGCGUUUUGGGCACCAGGCUUAGGGAAUCACAACAAGUCCCCAAGUUAGACCAUGAAUUAAAAUAAAAUAGUAAUAACAAGUUAUAACUCAGGCCUUCCGAUGUAAGAGAGGCUCACCAGCCGCAAACUUUCGACAAGUCAAUCUACUUCUUAACGAGAAUCUUGGAUUGUGUCUUGGAAUACUUAAAUAUAAGGGGUUAAUACAGAUGUACUAGUAUGCAUAUCCAAUUUCAUACCCUAUUUUUACUUGAAGGUCUAAACUAGCACGACGUUAUGGACUCUAAAAUAAUUUAAACUUAUGUACAGAGUCGCCAUCUAAUUUUAAAGAAAAAUAAGGAAACCUAUUGAAUUAUUAACAUGUAUAAUCAAUGUUUCAAUCUGUGAAAAACCAAUUGAGAUUUUAGGUAAGGGUUUAAAUUAUCUCAAAGGGAAGGGAUUAGGAACCCUUCGAGAUCCACAAUUGUGGUACCCGGCUAGACUAAAUUUAUCAAAGAAAGAGGAGGUAUAUUUAAAAUAUAUAUAAAAAUUUGUAUGUAUAUUAAGUAUAAAAUAAUUUCAUUGAAAAAUAUAAAUGUUUUUAGACUAUGUAAAGGCAUAUGUAUAUUAACUGUAUAAAUGAGAUGUAGUUAUAAAAUAUAUAAAUGUGCAUAUGAAAAGGAAGAGCUUUUUAUGAUGCAUGAAAAAAAAUGUAUUUUUUAUGGCAUGAAAAGUGAUGUAUUUACAAGCAAUAUUUUUAUUUGAUUAAAAUUAGAAAGAAAAGUAAAAUUUAUUUGAGAGAACAAUACGUGAAUUACUUAAUUAACUUGAUUCUUCUAUUAAGUAUAGUAAAAUAAUAUAUAUGUUUUAUUGUAAAAAAAAUUUAUAUUAGUAUAUGUAUGUAAAAAAUAAACUAAAUCGAAAUAAGAAAAUUUAAAAAAAAAAAAAGAAGACAAUGUAAUAUGCGAAUAUGUAAAUUAGUUGAUUAACUUAAUUGUUUUAUAUAAAUAUUAAUGGCCUAAGUCUUGCAUAAAAGCGAUGAAAAUAUGUAAAUGAAGGAUAUCCUCGCCCGAUACCCAAAAAGGAAAGUUUUUAGUAUUUUUGUUAUUUGUACAAAUGUGAGAAUAUAAAAUACAAUAUAAAAUUUAAGGACUCCUUUGACUGCAACUGCUGACGAGUAUUCCAAAAUAACCUGUAUAAAAACUUGUAAAAAAAUGUUAAUAAUAAGUAAAAAAUAAUAAAAAUAAAUUGAACAAAUAUAUCUGCAUAUGAGUAUUUAAAAAUAUAUUUUUUUGUUUAAAAGUGGACUCAGAUAAAUUCAUGACUAUGAAAUAGUUGCUAAAUUAAUUGGUCAUCCUAAAUCGUAUUAUUACGAAGUGGUUGCUUAAUUAUUGGCCGUCCUAAAUCGUCUAGCCAAAAUAUAAAUUGUAAAAUCUUAUGUUGUUAUAAAGUUUCAUCAUUGUCCAAAAUAUUUAUUUAUUAACAUAUUUGUAUACAUAAAAUCCAUCUUUUGUUUACGAACACCUCAACAUUAAUAAGAAUUUUUUCAUUGACAAAUAUCUUGUUCUUUAUCAGUCAAAUAAAUUGUAACUAACAAAAUUUAUCCAAAAUCAAUGUCUGAUAUUUUAAUAGCAGCAGACCCAGUGACAAAAUAAUAGAAACGGAGCAAACUAACAGUAAUAGCAAAAAGUAAGGAAACAUCAGCAAAAUAAAAGAAAACCCAUGGUCAAAAGUCUGGCUAGAUCUAAACAAAUUAGACAAAACAAGAAUAAUAAGAAUAUUAUCAAGCAUUAAAUAAAUAAAAGCACCAACCAAUACCGCUGCUUCGACCAUGAUGAAACGCCGGAGCAGUUGGUGGCAAAUAUACGAGCGCAAGGAGGUAUCGCCGGAGCUACUCUCGGAGGAGAAAGAACAGCGCAAUGAAGGAGAAGGGGGAGGUUGCCGUGUGAUCGAGACGAAGGGAGGCGGCAUCUGAUAGAGGCUCGCCGGUCCGACGGCCGUCGUUGGCUGCUGCUGUUGCUGGCUUGUGGUUGGUGGUUGCCGGUGUUGUGGGUUGGUGGGUGGCUACUGAAAGAUUAGAAGGAAGGGCGUGAAGGUGGUUUUAUCUUGAUUGGCAGUGGAUGUCACCGGAGUUCAGCCGUGCUCACCGGAGGAACGAGUAAAGAGGGUGGGUGUGUUCGGAGAAAGUUCUGAUUUUGUGUGUUCUAUCAGUGUGUGUACUGUGCCUUGUUGUAUAUAAGAAAAAGGAUCUCAUAUAUAGUGUAUUGUGAUUUGUGUGUAAUGUAUCCGUUUGAAAUGAAACGUUGCAAAAGUUGACAAUGCCCAAGAUUUUCUUUGAUUCAUUUUUGACUUGUGUAGCAUAAAUCAAAUUAAACAUUACUUUCUUUGUCUUGAGAUGACAUAAAGAAAAGCAAAAUUUGCCUUUUGUCUCAACAAUGUUUGAAAGAAAACACAUUCUAAAACAAACAACGAAUCUUU
rnacentral:lncRNA from 1 species